rnacentral:lncRNA from 1 species
CUUUGAACUGGAUUGUAGAUUCAUUGAUUCUCUGGAUCAAGCUGGCCGUUUGGAAUUUAGGUGCAGAAGUGUUAGAAUAGCAAACAAGAAAGAGAAAGAGGCCAGAGGUCAAAGAAAUGCAUUCAUACUGUGCAGAGAAUAUUAAAGGGUGUGCUGAGAGAGAAAUCUUUGUCAAAAGCAACGUCUCAUUUUGAAGCAUAGAAGCUAGCUCUUGCUUUCCUGGAUUACCUUGCAGCCUUGUGUAUUCAAGUUAUGGGACUUUGUCAAGCAUUCACGGAACCUUGUUUUAUGCCUUAUGUUUUCUUGGAUUAUUCUUUAUAGUCUUGGUUUUGCAACAAUCUUUGGGAUCUUUACUUUUGGUUUUUAAGAACUAUUUAUUUUCUAUUUCCUAAUAAACUACAAAAGACUUCAACCUGUGUACAGUCUGGUGUGUUCAGCAAGGUGAAGCUAAUCUGAGAUGCGACAUUAUCUUGAGUCCACACUGCCAUAUAAUCCAUUUCAGUGUGGAUUUUAUACAGCCGUGUAAAAGGGGCCUCAUAUAAUCCAGUUCUAAGCAGAUAAUAUAAGAUUACUAGCUGUGCCCGGUCACGCGUUGCUGUGGUGAAGUAUGGUGGUAUGGGAAAUAAAGUAUUGAGAAAUUGGUGGUAGUUAAGGUAAAGGGUAAAGUCCAUUAUAAAUGGGUUAUAUAGGUGUGUGGAAGGGCCUUGAGUCUACACUGCCAUAUAAUCCAGUUCAAAUCAGAUAAUCUGUAUUUUAUAGGCAGUGUGGAAGAGGCCUAAGUGAGGCCUAACUCUGCCUGUCCCCUGGGCUGAGUGGGUUGCUAGGAGACCAAGUGGGCGGAGCUUAGCCUUCUAACUGGCAGCAAUUGGAUAAAAACAAUUCUUCCCCUCCCUCUAAUUAGGACUUUAUUUUUCUUUUCUUUUUGUUGUAUGAACGUAGAGGCAUGGAUGAGGGGUUGUGUUGCCAAGUUUAGUGUUUCUGGGAUGUGUAGUUUUGUUGUUAAUAGGCUUUUCCUUAAUCCCUCCUUAUUAUCCAAGGUAUUUGCUUAUCCAAGCUUC